GUCAAUCAAAUGGACCAAUAUGGCAAGGCCAUGAUGAUCCAGUUGGUAAAGUAAAUCCGCUUGGCAUCUCUCUUGGCCUUAAGACAACAAUUCUGAUGGCUAAAGAUCCAAACGGGACAGGGGGAAAAAAGAAAAAAAAAAAAAAAAAAAAAAAAAAGAGAUGAGAUUCUGAGACCACACAAGUAAAAGCCUUCCACCACUUGGCUAUGCCUAGAAAUUCUGUCUAUAAAAAUUACGAACAGAAUCAGUGACAAAUGGCAGCACUGGCGGAGUCCAUCACCCUUAUUGCCGGUUAUGCGGACCAAGCUCUUGCAACGGUUGUAUAAGGACCGAAUGGCCCGAAGCAAUGGGCCCAUACUACCGAAGCACCUCCCAGAGGAUACUCCGAGGGACACGGUCGAAUGCCUUCUCGAAGUCCACAAAACACAUGUAGACUGGUUGGUGCAAACUCCCAUGCACCCUCAAGUAUCCUUGAGAGGAUAAAGAGCUGGUCCAGUGUUCCACAACCAGGAUGAAAACUACAUUAUUCCUCCUGUAUCCCGAAGUUCAACUAACGGAUGGACUCUCCUUUCCAGCACCCUGGCACAGACAUUCCCAGGGAAGCUGAUGAGUGUGAUCCCCCUAUAGUUGGAACACACCAAUCCAGAGGUACCGUCCCUGAUCUCCAAGCAACAUUGCAGAGGCGUGUCAACCAAGACAGCCCUACAACAUUCAGAGCCUUCAGGAACUCAGGGCGGACCUCAUCCACACCAGGGCCCGUAUCCCUAAAGAUUCUGAGAAUCCUCUCAGAGAGCUCCUAACUUAACCUAAAAAUUCCUUGCCAGGAGUUUUAGCUUAGAAGUGAUUCCAGAACAUUUUCAGUGAACUCUGAGCAAGGAAUGGAUGGAAAAUCCUAUCUUAGUGAGGAGGUGUGGUUGACCCCGUUGCUAGGUAUGAGUCAUCAUUUCAAAAGCCGUGAUUGGUUGAUCCUACAAGUUUGAUGGAAAUGAGCUUUUGGUGAGAAUGAGCAAAGGGUGUACCCUCAAAUCAAUAAACAUAAUUAUACACUAUAAUCUUAUGCUGACUGUAAUUGUAAAUAAUAUUUCACAUUCAAGAAAAUAUCUGGAAAAUGAAUAGAAAGCUGUAGGGGUUAUAGCCUAACAUUAGAAUCUAAAAUAUGUGAAAACUUAAACUCAUUACACCCUGUUCAAAUAAUGAUUCGUGUCUUAUUUGCUCAUAUUAAUAUCCUAGUUGGCAUAUUUUGUACUUUCACUCCCAUAUGGACCCCAUUGAAAACAAGAUUGCCUAUCUCAAGGGGCUGUCCCUAAUGAAGUAGAAAUCACAACGUUACAAGUCCAGUGUGGUCUUAACGAGGGUAACACGGCUCAGCUUUUAUCAAUGUCUGUGAUUGCUAGCUGGUCUAUUUAUAAAGGCUUGUUAACAAAUAUCCUACAAACACAGAAAAUGGAGAAAAAAACAGGACUCGCAAGCCGAACUGGACUGAGGAGCAAGGUUUGUUGCUGGCCCAGUUGGUGAACGAACAUAAAGGUAUGUUACGAGGAAAAUUUGGCCCAACUGUCACUAGCCAAGGCAAGAGGCGCACCUGGGACACAAUAUCCCAAACAAUCAAUGCCUCUUUUCCACUGGUGGUGCGGACAGGCGACGAUUGUGAGAAAAGGUGGUAUGUGCUGCAGUCCAAGGCAAAAGAUGAGAUUGCAGCACAUAAGCGGGAAUCCUCACUCACAGGUGAGCAAAAUAUUAUAGCCUACCACAUAAUCUGGCAACUUGCUCCUGCUGGCAAAGUUAAUUUACAUGCCUAAGUACUGUGUUCAUUGACUGUUUCUUUCUAGGGGGUGGACCACCCGCAAAGCGGCUGUCCCAGGUGGCCGACACUGUCUUUCAAGUCCUGGGACACUCUGAGGUCAGUGUCACCGGGCUGCCAACAGGCAUUGACACAUCAAUGAUGCAGGCCCUUGAAGUGCAGCAAAGCAUGGAGCCAUCACAAGAACCGGGCCCAUCAAGUUUGCCGAUGAGAUUGCCGCCUGAACCAUCUGCAGCUGCUACUCAGGAUAGCCCGGCGGAUCAAACACCAUUCCCAUCCGCAGCACCUGCUCCGUCAACAUCCCUGCAGGAGAGCAGAUUGCAACUCACAAUUGAUGUGUUUGAACAACAAAAAAAAGUCCUUUCCCUUCAGGAGGAGUACUACCGCCUUAAAAUUGAACACCUAAAAAAUAAACCAUUUACAUAUUG